rnacentral:rRNA from 1 species
AUUGAACGCUGGCGGCAUGCCUAACACAUGCAAGUCGAACGGCAGCACGAUGUGUAGUAAUACAUAUUGGUGGCGAGUGGCGGACGGGUGAGUAACGCGUGGGAAUCUACCCAAUAGUGGGGGACAACCCGAGGAAACUCGGGCUAAUACCGCAUACGCCCUACGAGGGAAAGGCUUCGGCCGCUAUUGAAUGAGCCCGCGUCCGAUUAGCUAGUUGGUGAGGUAACGGCUCACCAAGGCGACGAUCGGUAGCUGGUCUGAGAGGACGAUCAGCCACACUGGGACUGAGACACGGCCCAGACUCCUACGGGAGGCAGCAGUGGGGAAUAUUGCACAAUGGGCGAAAGCCUGAUGCAGCAAUGCCGCGUGUGUGAAGAAGGCCUGCGGGUUGUAAAGCACUUUCGGUAGGGAAGAUUAUGACGGUACCUACAGAAGAAGCACCGGCUAACUCC